GGUGCAGCUGUCUCUUGUGCUUGAUCUAACCAUGUGCCGCCGCCUACACAAGCCUCA
rnacentral:miRNA from 1 species